UUGGUGGGGUAACGGCUCACCAAGGCCACGAUGUCUAGGGGUUCUGAGAGGAAGGUCCCCCACACUGGAACUGAGACACGGUCCAGACUCCUACGGGAGGCAGCAGUGAGGAAUAUUGGACAAUGGUCGGAAGACUGAUCCAGCCAUGCCGCGUGAAGGUUACGGUCCUAUGGAUUUUAAACUUCUUUUGUAUGGAAGCAAUAAGGUGCACGCGUGCAUCGAUGAGAGUACCAUACGAAUAAGCAUCGGCUAACUCCGUGCCAGCAGCCGCGGUAAUACGGAGGAUGCAAGCGUUAUCCGGAUUUAUUGGGUUUAAAGGGUGCGUAGGCGGAUUAAUAAGUCAGCGGUGAAACUCACAGGCUCAACCUGUGCCGUGCCGUUGAAACUGUUUAUCUUGAAUGCGGAUGCUGUGGGAGGAAUGUGUAGUGUAGCGGUGAAAUGCAUAGAUAUUACACAGAACACCGAUUGCGAAGGCAUCUCACAAAGCCGUGAUUGACGCUGAGGCACGAAAGUGUGGGGAUCAAACAGGAUUAGAUACCCUGGUAGUCCACUACUGUAAACGAUGAUAACUCGCUGCCGGCGAUAUAUAGUCGGUGGCCCAGCGAAAGC
rnacentral:rRNA from 1 species